rnacentral:rRNA from 1 species
UACGGAGGGUGCAAGCGUUGUCCGGAAUUAUUGGGCGUAAAGGGCGCGUAGGCGGUGCGGUAAGUCUGUAGUGAAAUCUCUGGGCUCAACUCAGAGUCUGCUGCAGAAACUGCCGUGCUUGAGUGUGGGAGAGGUGAGUGAAAAUUCCCCGGUGUAGCGGUGAAAUGCGCAGAUAUCAGGAGGAACACCGGUGGCGAAGGCGGGUCUCUGGGCCGUAACUGACGCUGAGGAGCGAAAGCGUGGGGGAGCGAACAGG